ACGGGAGGCAGCAGUGGGGAAUAUUGCACAAUGGGCGAAAGCCUGAUGCAGCGACGCCGCGUGAGGGAUGACGGCCUUCGGGUUGUAAACCUCUUUCAGCAGGGAAGAAGCGAAAGUGACGGUACCUGCAGAAGAAGCGCCGGCUAACUACGUGCCAGCAGCCGCGGUAAUACGUAGGGCGCAAGCGUUGUCCGGAAUUAUUGGGCGUAAAGAGCUCGUAGGCGGCUUGUCACGUCGAUUGUGAAAGCUCGGGGCUUAACCCCGAGUCUGCAGUCGAUACGGGCUAGCUAGAGUGUGGUAGGGGAGAUCGGAAUUCCUGGUGUAGCGGUGAAAUGCGCAGAUAUCAGGAGGAACACCGGUGGCGAAGGCGGAUCUCUGGGCCAUUACUGACGCUGAGGAGCGAAAGCGUGGGGAGCGAACAGGAUUAGAUACCCUGGUAGUCCACGCCGUAAACGGUGGGAACUAGGUGUUGGCGACAUUCCACGUCGUCGGUGCCGCAGCUAACGCAUUAAGUUCCCCGCCUGGGGAGUACGGCCGCAAGGCUAAAACUCAAAGGAAUUGACGGGGGCCCGCACAAGCGGCGGAGCAUGUGGCUUAAUUCGACGCAACGCGAAGAACCUUACCAAGGCUUGACAUACACCGGAAAGCAUUAGAGAUAGUGCCCCCCUUGUGGUCGGUGUACAGGUGGUGCA
rnacentral:rRNA from 1 species